rnacentral:rRNA from 1 species
UACGUAGGUGACCAGCGUUGUCCGGAUUUACUGGGCGUAAAGAGCGCGCAGGCGGUCGUUCAAGUCGAGUGUGAAAGCCCCCGGCUCAACUGGGGAGGGUCAUUCGAUACUGAUCGACUGGAAGGCAGGAGAGGGAAGCGGAAUUCCCGGUGUAGUGGUGAAAUGGCGUAGAUAUCGGGAGGAACACCAGUGGCGAAGGCGGCUUCCUGGCCUGUUCUUGACGCUGAGGCGCGAAAGCUAGGGGAGCAAAACGGG